AUUGAACGCUGGCGGCAGGCUUAACACAUGCAAGUCGAGCGGAGUGAUGGUGCUUGCACUAUCACUUAGCGGCGGACGGGUGAGUAAUGCUUAGGAAUCUGCCUAUUAGUGGGGGACAACAUCUCGAAAGGGAUGCUAAUACCGCAUACGUCCUACGGGAGAAAGCAGGGGAUCACUUGUGACCUUGCGCUAAUAGAUGAGCCUAAGUCGGAUUAGCUAGUUGGUGGGGGAAAGGCCUACCAAGGCGACGAUCUGUAGCGGGUCUGAGAGGAUGAUCAGCCACACUGGGACUGAGACACGGCCCAGACUCCUACGGGAGGCAGCAGUGGGGAAUAUUGGACAAUGGGGGGAACCCUGAUCCAGCCAUGCCGCGUGUGUGAAGAAGGCCUUAUGGUUGUAAAGCACUUUAAGCGAGGAGGAGGCUCUUUUGGUUAAUACCCAAGAUGAGUGGACGUUACUCGCAGAAUAAGCGCCGGCUAACUCUGUGCCAGCCGCCGCCGUAA
rnacentral:rRNA from 1 species